rnacentral:rRNA from 1 species
UACGUAGGGUGCAAGCGUUGUCCGGAAUUAUUGGGCGUAAAGAGCUCGUAGGCGGUCUGUCACGUCGGACGUGAAAAUCCAGGGCUCAACCCUGGACCUGCGUUCGAUACGGGCAGACUAGAGUUCGGUAGGGGAGACUGGAAUUCCUGGUGUAGCGGUGAAAUGCGCAGAUAUCAGGAAGAACACCCGUGGCGAAGGCGGUUCUCUGGGACGGUACUGACGCUGAGACGCGAAAGCGUGGGGAGCAAACAGG